UAAUGUAUGGGGAUCUGCCCGAUAGAGGGGGAUAACUACUGGAAACGGUGGCUAAUACCGCAUAAUGGCUACGGACCAAAGCAGGGGCUCUUCGGACCUUGCACUAUCGGAUGAACCCAUAUGGGAUUAGCUAGUAGGUGGGGUAAAGGCUCACCUAGGCGACGAUCUCUAGCUGGUCUGAGAGGAUGAUCAGCCACACUGGGACUGAGACACGGCCCAG
rnacentral:rRNA from 1 species